AUUGAACGCUGGCGGCAUGCCUUACACAUGCAAGUCGAACGGCAGCACGGGAGCAAUCCUGGUGGCGAGUGGCGAACGGGUGAGUAAUAUAUCGGAACGUGCCCAGUCGUGGGGGAUAACGCAGCGAAAGCUGUGCUAAUACCGCAUACGAUCUAAGGAUGAAAGCGGGGGAUCGCAAGACCUCGCGCGAUUGGAGCGGCCGAUAUCAGAUUAGCUAGUUGGUGGGGUAAAGGCCCACCAAGGCGACGAUCUGUAGCUGGUCUGAGAGGACGACCAGCCACACUGGAACUGAGACACGGUCCAGACUCCUACGGGAGGCAGCAGUGGGGAAUUUUGGACAAUGGGCGUAAGCCUGAUCCAGCAAUACCGCGUGCAGGAUGAAGGCCUUCGGGUUGUAAACUGCUUUUGUACGGAACGAAACGGCCCUUUCUAAUACAGGGGGCUAAUGACGGUACCGUAAGAAUAAGCACCGGCUAACUACGUGCCAGCCGCCGCGGUAA
rnacentral:rRNA from 1 species